CUUGCCGACCCUGGGAGGCAGAGGUUGUUGCCGGUCGUUCCAGCGCGACUUCUGUUGUUCCAAGGAGAGUAAAGAACCAUAGGAGGGACUGCUAUGACAUUGUCUGAUCCUGUGAGGAAAUGUGGCCCUUCAGUGUUAAAAGGAAGAUACUACCUUUAACUACCCAUGUCUGUUAGCCACUAUCAUAAGUAAGGUUCCAAAUAUUCAUCUCCUUCUAGAGCAGCCACACUAAGGCACUUCAGCAGAUGAAGAAAAUGGAUUGCAGUGAACAGCAAGAAAUAUCAGAUCUAUCCCAAGACCUGGGCAUCUGACUGUGACAGAAACAAAUACUGUAGAAGAAUGUAAUUGAUCAAAACUCAAAUCUCACCUAAAAACAUGUCAACUGCUUCUGAACUGAUUAAAGCUGAUUUGUAGUAUUUUCUCAA